UCCAGGCUUUCUGUGUCAAGAUAUGCCACAGCUUUAGAAAUUGGAGCAGCACAAGCACAUGGAAAAUAUUUCCCAGUUACAGUGUGAAGAAACUAAGCAGGAGGGACUUUUCCAAAUUGCCAUCUGCCUAAGGGAAGGGACAGCAUAGAGCUGCACUAUUCCUGGACUAAAGAAAGGACCAGCUAGUUACCAGGUCUUCCUUGUUCUCCGCAGAAAGUUAUCACAGCCCACCUCAGGUGGUUUGCUCCUGCACUGCCUUGUUCAUGCUACCAGUGGCUUUAGUAAAGACAUAAGCAAAUUUC